GGGAGUGUAGCUCAGUUGGUGGAGUACUUGCCUGUUAUGUAUGUACCUCUGGGUUCAACCCUCAGCUCUACAA
rnacentral:tRNA from 1 species